rnacentral:rRNA from 1 species
UACGGAGGGUGCAAGCGUUGCUCGGAAUUAUUGGGCGUAAAGGGUGUGUAGGCGGUUGUUUAAGUUUGGUGUGAAAUCUCCCGGCUCAACUGGGAGGGUGCGCCGAAUACUGAAUGACUAGAGUGCGGGAGAGGAAAGUGGAAUUCCUGGUGUAGCGGUGAAAUGCGUAGAGAUGUGGAGGAACACCGAUGGCGAAGGCAGCCUUCUGGGCCAACACUGACGCUCAUGCACGAAAGCGUGGGGAGCAAACAGG